GGGGAGGGGAGGGGAGGGGAGGGGAGGACAGGGUAGCACCGAGAUCCCACCUCCUGUGACCCACGGUGCACACGGCCCACAAGACGGUGUGAUGGCAACCCGUGGUUUUCUCAGUGGGUCGGGGCCCCUGUGUCUCUCACACUGUGAGCACCUCACGUGUGCUUUUCACAUCACGCGACCCAUAAGGCAAUCCAAUGUCUUCAUCUGGUGCUCACCCAGAGAAACAGCCAUCGUCCCCACUUCGAAGCAUAACUGGCUGAGGUGCAUGCUUGGUAGGUGACGCGGUGCAGGAGGGAGGUUUGUGGUAACGGAAGGGACGUUCAUGUGUGACGCUGACUACAUGGGAGAAAGUCUUACACGGAGAGUUUGGAAUCCAAUCCUCCGGCAUGACGUGACCCCGUUGUACAAGACACGGCGUCACAUCGCACACAUUCGGGAUCUCGCAGCCGUGAGACUCCCCUCCCCGGAGGCAGGGGGUGGUAGGCAGACACCCCUCCCCGAAGCCUCCAGUUGAUAGCCACCCCCCCCCCCUCCCCGGACAAUCUACGGCUUGGCACAAGUAGACAAGAUGACCGAUCGGACUUCUCCUCCCUGGAAGCUGAAGUUGGGAACAGCCAGAGAACAGGGCGGUGGGCCAUGGGAGCCGAGGCUUGAAAGUGACACCCUGCCAUUUCUGCCUUAUUCAGCGUGGGAGGGGACUUCACGCAUACAGUUCAUGAACUUGACAUCUACGGGCGCCAUGAUGUGCCAGGCACCGUUCUAGGUCCCGAGGAUACAGAGCCACGUAGGUUCCCAGCCUCGCUUGCAGAUGGAGCAGAGAAGGUGACACAAGACGCCAGCCAUCAGAUGCGCCCGCAUCCAAGCGACACUGAGAGGCAGGUGCCGAGGAAUGUUCUCUGGAGAGAGUACAGCAGAUCCAUCCGGAUCCCAGAGUCUCCAGCUGCAGGCAUCCCCGUGGUGGUCUCCAGCUUCAAGUGCCCACCCGGGCAACAGUGGUGUGUGUGUGUGUGUGUGUGUGUGUGUGUGUGUGUGUGCACGCGCACUCAGUGGGGCUCAUACAAGGACUGAUCCACACAGAUGACCUCCAAGCCUAGUUCUCUGCUCUCCUGGAGACUUCUGAGGUGCUUCCUAUCUGCUAAUAAAUUCCUCUUCAGCUUCAACUAGCUAGGAAAGAGUCUGUUGCCUAAAAGCAAGGGCUCUCACUGGCACGUGAAGGGAGAAGGGCAAUGAUCCGACGCACAGGAUCAUUUCAGAGAGGGGUCAGCGCUGUGCCGGGAAGAAGCCAACACGGGGUGAUGUGAACGGGCGUCUCGGAAGGAAAUGAAGGAAACGUAGCAAGACAUCGGAACCGACUGCACGUGGAAAUACAUCGAAUCGGUGCCACAAAAUGUAAAUUAUGGAUCAUCGCUCAUGUCGUAGCUACGCAUUUGCAACCGUGGAGGGCGACACCACGCGGGGCGAUGUGAGAGAGAGGCAGGCAGGGGUGGGGGCUAUUUUUGGUAAGGUGGUCAGGGGAACCUGUCUGAGGAGGUGGCAUUGGAGCCGAGACCUAAAAGGUGAGGAGGAACCAUGCAAAGUCUGGUAGGGAGGCUUCCAGGCGGAUGUAGUGGAGACCGUGAAGGAUGAGCGUGGGACCUUGAGGGACGGGUUGGUGCAUCUGGCAGUUAGCGCGAGUGGCCAAGGGCGUGAUGAGCCUGGAAAGCAGGCAGGGCCCCAGUCCCGCCAGCCCUUGCAGGCCACGGGCAGGCAUUUGUGUUUUGUUCUAAGGGGUGGCAAUCCGUUAGAGGAUUUCAAAGAGGGAGCAGCCUCCAGAAUGUCACUCACCGAUCCUCGCCUCCUGGUAUUUACCCCUUGUGCCCGUCCCUUUCCACACAGAGUAUGGCUGACCUGUGCGACUGCUAGGGUACUGCAGAAAUGACAGUGUGUGACUUUGGAGGCUAGGUCAUAAAAGACAUUGUGACUCAGCCUUGCUCUCUUGGGUCAGUCCCUCUGCGGAAGCCAGCCGCCAUAUUGUGAGGACGCCCAAGCGGCCCUCUGGAGAGGUCCGCUGGGGGGGGGGUGGGGGGCGGGGCACGGAGGCCUCCUGACCACAGCCUUGGACGCAGAUGCCCCAGCCCAGGCCAAGCCUUCGAAUGACUGUAACUCCACCUGAACCUCUUGACUACAACUUCCUGAGAGACCCUGAGCCGGAACCAUCCAACUAAGCGGCUUCAAAUUCCUGACCCAUAAGUGGGUGAGAUCAUAAAUGUUUGUUGUUCUAAGCCA